GACGAACCACACAAACGUUAUUCGGAAUUACUGGGCUUAAAGGGUGCGUAGGCGGCGCGGAAAGUAGGGUGUGAAAUCCCUCGGCUCAACCGAGGAAUUGCGCCCUAAACUACCGUGCUCGAGGGAGAUAGAGGUGAGCGGAACUUAGGGUGGAGCGGUGAAAUGCGUUGAUAUCCUAAGGAACACCGGUGGCGAAGGCGGCAUUCUGGACCAAUAUUGACGCUGAGGAGCGAAAGCCAGGGGAGCAAACGGG
rnacentral:rRNA from 1 species